UGGUGACUGGCUGAGCUGUGAUGAAAGUACUGCAAAAGCAGCCCAACCAACAUGGCCCCUGAGAUGCAUUAAUGAAGUCAUGAGGGAAAGGGUAUUACUGUUGACCUGGGAGCAGCCACUAGGGCUCAAGGGUGCAGCAAAGCCUCACUGAGAGACUGAGGAAAAAAUGCUUCUAAUUCUUAGGUGCUUGUUUCCCUAACACCCAGAAACAUCUAACAACUCAGCUUUUAGAGAGACGGGUCCAGGAAGGCAUCCUCUUACCCUCAUUCGGCAGAGGACACUUGACAGGCCCUCCUCGAAAACACGAGACAAACACUAUUCCACAAAGUCCCAAGAAAACCAAGUGCCAGCUACUCUUGCCGGUGUCAUGUUCUCGAAUGGGUGGCGCUGGGUCUCAAAGUUCAAAAAACACGCAGGACGCACAUAGACAUCAUUGGAAGUUGGUCCAAGAGGGAGCACUGGGAAAAGCAACAAUGAGAUGCUUGACCAGGGAGAAGACAGACUUGAUUUGGGCUGUGACAGAAAGCCAAGGUCGGAAGACAGUCAAAGGUCACCAAGUAGCUAGCUUUACUAAAUGCUUAACUAUGUUGACUUGCUGCACCUUUUUUGUAUUAUCUUAUUUAAUGUUCGCUGCAAACUAGUAUCCACAUCCUUAUUUUACAGAUCAAGAAACUCAGGUGUUGAUGGGGUGAGCUCUUUGCCCAAGGCUCUUAGCAAAUGCAGGAGCUGAGGUUCAAACCCAGACAGUCUUGUUCCACAGCGCGGGGGGCUCGAGGAGAUGCUGGAUGGAGACCUGCAAACCCUCUGGGUCUGGAGAACAGAAGGACAAGGCUCCAGGGAAGAUGGCCCAGAGAGGGUAGACACCAAGGGGCUUCCUCAGCCUGCCCCUGAGAGGAAACGUGGGUCCUCUACAAAUGGCACCCAGGGGCUCAACAGUCACUUGGAAGUGAAGAGAGGUGGCAUGAACAACUUUCGAUCCCAAAAAGAUCACUCUGGGUGCUGUGUGGAGAACAGACUGUGAAGGGGAAGAAUGGAUAUGGUGAAACCAUGUUGGAGGAGUCUGGGUGCUGAAAGAUGAUGGCUCAGACCAGAGUGACAGUGAAGAUGGACAGAACUCAAGGAAAUGAAGAGAUACUACUAGCAGUUCCAGGGAUGCCUCCUCAGGCCAACAGGCAGGCCAGAGUCUCCCCCAAUGGAACCUGCACCAACCAACAAGCAGCCACCUGCUCCAGGAGCUGAGGGGCCCGCCCCUGCUGAUCACACCUCAGAAAAUACUCAUCCCCAAGAGCCGCCUGCAUCUGAGCUCCCCUGGGAGAGCUGGGAGGAGCAGCAGGAAGAAGCCCAUCUCCCUGCGCUCCUGCCGUGCUCCUCUGAGCACAGCAGAGGUGUCCUGGAGCACGCUGCCCUCGUGGGAGUCAUCCCAACCCCAGCGUCUGUGGUGAGCAUGGCAUGGCAGGAAAGGGGAACUGUCACCAACUCACAGCCAUCUGUCCUGUCUUCUCCAUCCUCCCUAGGACCCCAUCCCGACCUUUUCUAGUGUGGGCUGGAAAGCCCAGGCCAGGAUUCUAACUGCAAGCUCAGCCCCUGUCAGCGUUUCUCACUGUGUCCUCAGAAAGAUCUUUCUAACUCACCACAUCCUGUUUCUUAUCACUGUGUCAUCAGAAAGGUCUUUCUAACUCACCAUAUCCUGUUUCUUAAGGAAACUGGACUUAGGAAGGAAGAGAAUGUCCUGAGAAGCAAGAAUAAUGAGGAAUGGGAUGACUCUCUGUCCCUAUAAGUCUUUAGGAAGAGGACAGGCUGCCUGCCAUUGAAUAGGAGCCCCUGGGGACAGCACAACUCUGAGGACAGCCCACUCAUAAUAUUUGCAGGUCCCAGGGCACAAGCACACAUGGAGGCCUACCUACCUUGCAUCCUUACUGAAAGGUUAUAAGUCAAGUUAGCAAACUGUGACAUAAGUAUGUUCUAUCAUCCUGCCCUGACAAGCGUGCCCUCAAAGCAACCUGCUAGCCGGCUGGCAUUUAGAAUUCCCUGACUCCUUGGAUUCUGUGCUCAAAUGCAGUGGCACAGGGAGAGCAGGUCACAGCUCACAGCCUGGUCCCCUGCUUUCCUCACCCUUGGCUCCACCUCACACCAGAAGAGCCUUCAGUGCAUGCGAGUG